rnacentral:rRNA from 1 species
UGCAUAUCAAUAAGCGCGGAGGAAAAGAAACCAACAGGGAUUGCCCCAGUAACGGCGAGUGAAGCGGCAACAGCUCAAAUUUGAAAUCUGGCUCUCGGGCCCGAGUUGUAAUUUGUAGAGGAUGCUUUUGGUGAGGUGCCUUCCGAGUUCCCUGGAACGGGACGCCACAGAGGGUGAGAGCCCCGUCUGGUUGGACACCGAGCCUCUGUAAAGCUCCUUCGACGAGUCGAGUUGUUUGGGAAUA